GGGCGCUUAGCUCAGUUGGUAGAGCGACUGCCUUACACGCAGAAUGUCGGCGGUUCGAUCACGUCAGCGCCCACCA
rnacentral:tRNA from 1 species